GGGGAUGUAGCUCAAUUGGUAGAGCACCUGCUUUGCAAGCAGACGGUUAGGGGUUCAAAUCCCCUUUUCUCCA
rnacentral:tRNA from 1 species